rnacentral:tRNA from 1 species
GGGAUGGCUCAGCCGUAGAGCUUCUGCUUUGCAUGCGGAAGGUGCUAGGUUCAAUCCCUGGCAUCUCCG